rnacentral:snoRNA from 1 species
ACUGCCCCUUGAGGCGUUGCUGUCCGACAAAGUGUCAGGAGGGGUGUAGAGUGAUGGGGCUAUGUCUACGCCGAGGACCCAGAACAGUGGGUACUUGGCGUGAUUGAUGACUCUGACA